GACGAAGGAUGCAAGCGUUAUCCGGAUUCAUUGGGUUUAAAGGGUGCGUAGGUGGGUUUGUAAGUCAGUGGUGAAAUCUCCAAGCUUAACUUGGAAACUGCCGUUGAUACUAUAAAUCUUGAAUGUUGUGGAGGUGAGCGGAAUAUGUCAUGUAGCGGUGAAAUGCUUAGAUAUGACAUAGAACACCAAUUGCGAAGGCAGCUCACUACACAAAGAUUGACACUGAGGCACGAAAGCGUGGGGAUCAAACAGG
rnacentral:rRNA from 1 species